GGAAGCCCUAAUAGGGCUUGAAACCCUAGAUCGCUUAUGCUCUAUAUAUACCACCUACGACCAGUGGUAGAGCAAACCGACACGCAUUCUCAAUCCACCGGCCUCCGUCGAUUCUUUCAGGCGCACCACCGUGACAGGCGGCCAUAUUCUCACUUCUCUAUUCUAUCAAGAUAGAGAGGGAUUUUCGUCUCUGGUUCUCUAUUUAUAAACGACGAUGCGUAUACGAAAAGCUUGAUUUUUAGCUGUGUUAAGUUUAUUUUAUCAAUCGAAUUAUCGAUUGGUAUUGAAUUUUUCAUUCUGUUGAAAAUCAGGCAGCGGCCAGACAACCGUAGAGAUGGUUUCCACAGGUGAACAGUUUUUUUCGAUCUGUUUGUCUACUAAAUUCUAUCUCACAUUAUUAAUAGACGUUUUCUUCGAUUAUAGUUUAAGAUCUCUUCUUCCGUGUAGUUAACGACAGUAUGUUUACGAUAUUCUCAAUAGUUGCAUUGCUUGGAUUAUAAAUCAUGGUAGAUUGGGCAUAUAUCUGGUUGAUCUAGUGAUUAGUCUCUAUGAAAAUGGAUUUAUCAUGGAAUUAUGUUUUUUUUGAAAAAUUGAUUAUACAGAUCUCAAAAUUAUUGGGAGAUCUCUAAACCUACAACUGAUAUGUGCACUUUCAUCUUCAUAUUCUUAUUUAAUUGCAUUUGUUGUAUUAAAUUGUAGAUAGAGAGAGAUUUUCAUCUCUGGUUCUCUAUCUAUGAACGACGAUGCGUAUAUGUAAAGCUUGAUUUGAGCUGUGUGUAAGUUAUUUUAUCAAUUGAAGUAUUGAUUGGUAUUCAACUCGUCAUUUUGCUUAAAUUCAGGCAGCGGCCAGACAACCGUAGGGAUGGUUUCCACAGAUGAACGGUUAUUCAAUCUGUUUGUCUACUAAAUUCUAUCUCACAUCAUUAUGUUAGGGUUUUUAUUAAUGGUGAUUGUAGUUCAAUGAUGGAAAAAGCUCAAAAAACCCCAAUGAAUCAUAUUUUUUCAAUUAAAAACCCAUUAAUCUCUUCUCAUUUUGUACACAAAUGGUCUCACUUCUCCUUGCCACUCAUCGAUGUUUUAAGUUGCAUGUGGCACCCCGGGCUUAUCUGAUAAAUGAAUUUGAUGAAGAAUCAAGCCCCAAUGCUCGUGCUAGAUUAGAUUUAUUGCCGUCAAGUGUUGCAGUUCAGCCUUUUGUACCUUUUUCAAUGGCGGUUUCUGUGUCAAAUCGACGGCUACAUCUCAUCAAAUAUAGGUUUUAGUUUAUAUGUUUUCUGCCUCACCACACCUUAAGCUUUUUUCCUUAUCAAUUCAUUGGAAAGAGGUCUAGUCAUGGAGGCGAAUAGUUAAGGCGGUGUUAACGUGGAGGUUUAAGCUUUUAUAUGCCGUUUUUUCCUCUAAAAACAUCCGCUAUAUAUCAUGAAAAUACUUGUAUUUUUUAUUGAUUUAUAUAUCUUGGCAAUGACUUGUUUUUACAAUGAUGAUUGAACACACAGCUUUAAGCCAGUUCUGCUUCAGAAAAUUCAUGACUGAAAGAGCUGUUGUUUACUCUGAGCAUUUCAUUGAUUGAAAUUCAGUUGAUUUGUUUUCAUUUUGAACGAUGAUUUUCUAAAUCUCGAAUGUGUUGAUGAUGAAAUAAUCCAAUUGUAUGAGAUACGGUGAAUCCGAGACCUUGUUUAACAGGGAGAACCACUUGGUUGAAGCUGUAUUUCACUUGAUAUUACUGGAUUUAACUGAGGCUUACAUUCUUUAAUUAGAAGGUUUUUUAAAUGAUUUGAUAUUUUUUAUAUUAUUGAAGUGUUUAUUUGUUGAGUUUAAACUAUACUCUUGACCCUGAAAUAUGUAUAACGGGUUUGGAGUCUGAAAAAACUCAAAAAGUAGUGUGUUGUCAUCGAGCUUCUUCUUUCGUAACAUUAACGAGACUGGAGUUAAAAAACAGCACAAGAUUUA